AUACGUAGGGGGCAAGCGUUAUCCGGAUUUACUGGGUGUAAAGGGAGCGUAGACGGCACUGCAAGUCUGGAGUGAAAGCCCGGGGCUCAACCCCGGGACUGCUUUGGAAACUGCAUGUCUAGAGUGCGGGAGAGGAAAGUGGAAUUCCUAGUGUAGCGGUGAAAUGCGUAGAGAUUAGGAAGAACACCAGUGGCGAAGGCGACUUUCUGGACCGUAACUGACGCUGAGGCAUGAAAGCGUGGGUAGC
rnacentral:rRNA from 1 species